rnacentral:lncRNA from 1 species
CACAAGGUCAGGGUAUUUUUAGGGUACUUCAGUUUCUAACAAGCUCACCAGUAAUGCCAGUACUGCUGGCCCAGGGACAUAACUCUGAAAAGCAGGCCUCCAGGGUAAUACAGGAAUCUUUUACAACAACCCUUGUAGCUGAUCAUGCAGCUUGUGUGUACCCCAAGGUCAGGGAACCCACUGCUUUAUAAGGCAGGCGGGGUUUGGGUAUUUUUUAGUUCUAGUCAUGAUAGACUAUCUUAAAUGAUUCAAUUAUGAUCACUAAGUUUAGCUACUGUGGGUGCAGAGCCCUACCAUGGACAAAAUAUUCUGAAUUACAAGUGGAAAACACAUCUUCUACUUUCCCAAAUAUUUCUGUGUGUGAUGGCUUCCUUAUUAGUAAUGCAUAGAACCCACGCCUUGGGAGAGCAGAUUCAAUGCCAGACGAAUGCUUUCUUGUUCCUGAAUAUUGCUUUCCAGGCCCAGAUUAGUCUGAAAAGAGCAGUCAUCCUCUCUGCACAUGGUGCUUCCUCUUCCUCCUCCUCCUCCUCAUGCUUCUCCUGACUCCCCAGUUUUGGUGAUAGUGGUUUUUUCCCGAAGUCUUUCAGCUUUUCAGGUAGUUUCAUAAACAAGUAUUUUAACAUGAGCUCUUUUACAGUCUUCGUUCCUCUAUAUUCUGUUGUUACUCUUUGUGUUUACAUCAGGCCUUUAAGUAUUUAAUCAUAAAUAAAUCUGCUGUCAAUUUUCUUUUGGAGCAACAGCAGUCUUCCUGGGAAAGACUCUGAAAAGCUGUCUUGCAGUGGGGCUGAC